CUGAUAAAAGUCAACAAGAUUCCAACGCAGCAGUACGUUAAGUUCAUGGCUUUCUUCGCUUGGGCAUAGCGUGAUGCUGAUAUCCAGGUCCAAGGGCAGAUCCUGCCCUCAUUUCCACUGCCACAGAACAUCUGGUUUCCACAUCAGUCCAUUCAGAGUCUGCAGCAUCCUCCGGUGGAUCAGCAUUGGAAGGUGAUGAUCUUCUCUUUCGACCAGUUGGAGAUUCUUGCUUUAGGGUCUCUAUCUCUGUGAACUGCACAGCCUGUCCACCACCUCUGGUUUUGAAAACAUCACCCUUAAUUAGUUUUGUUUCAAUCUCCCCAUCAGAGGCUAGCUCCUGGUGCGUCAGCAUGUACUUGUCACACUUAGCUAGUGCCUUUUCACUUGCAGCUGCUACUGUGAUGGCAUGAGGGACAUGUGGCUGCAUGACUGUGUCAGUGGGCAGAUUAGAAGGUGGCUUAUGAUCUACCCAUCUCUCCCCAGCUGAGCGCGACCGUCUGUGCCUGAGACGAACUGGAGGUGCAUUCCUGCAGCAUUGAUCCUCUUCUAUUUCUAGCUCAUCUCUACUCUUGGGAACCUCAGUGAUUCCAGUCCAG
rnacentral:lncRNA from 1 species